rnacentral:rRNA from 1 species
GGUUUAAACCCUAAAACCUAAAUGUAUCAUAUCCCAUCUGAUCUUGGAAGCUAAGCAGGGUCAUCCCUGGGUAGUAUCUGAGUGGGAGACCACCAACAAUUACUAGGUGCUGUAGCCU